ACAACUCACCCUGCUAUUAAAACUUGUUUGAGUCCAGUAUUCUUUGGGCCUAAGUGCGUCAGAAGGCUGAGGAAUUCCACGGCAACACAAGACAGGCACAAUACUCCAUAGGAAAAAGAGCCUGCCAGGAUAGAUUGGAUUUUGCUUGCCUGAGGACAUUUGUAACUCAAGUUCUGACUGGUCAUUGUACACAUAUGUUGCUCAAGAGCAGAAGAUGACAACGGCACCAACUCCUGCAUAGGCAAUGAUUUCAAGAAGAAGUUUUUAAAAUGAAUAUGUUCGGUGAAAAAGGAGAUAAAUGGAAAAUCUGCCUUGUCAGCCUAGCGUUUGCGUAAUGGACAGACAUAAUGCACUGAGAAGAGAAGAGUCGGGCCAGACAUGGCGUGACCGAGUCUCAUCACUAUUAACAGAGAUAAGUGGAGGGCAAGUUGAGCACUGUGGGAGUGCUGAUGUCACCGCCAAGACAGAGGUCUUGACAUCAUUUUAAACACUUAG